rnacentral:rRNA from 1 species
CCCCACUAUGCCAAGCCCUCAACCACAAUUUCCACUAAUUCGCCAGAGAACUACAAGCAAAAAGCUAGAAACUCAAAGAACUUGACGGUGCCCCAAACACCCCUAGAGGAGCCUGUCCUAUAAUCGAUACUCCACGCUACACCAAACCAUCUUUAGCCACUUCAGUCUAUAUACCGCCGUCGCCAGCCUACCCUGCAAAGGAACAAAAGUAGACAAAACAGUCUAUCACGCAAAAACGUCAGGUCAAGGUGUAACUAAUAAGAUGGAAAGCGAUGGGCUACAUUUUCCAAAAUAGAACAUACGGAUAAUACUAUGAAAUAACAUUUGAAGGCGGAUUUAGCAGUAAAACAAGAAAGACUACUUAUUUUAAACCUGUCACUG